rnacentral:RNase_P_RNA from 1 species
AAUACGAGUUGGCUUAUCGCGUCUGAGCAAUUGGGCGAGGAAAGUCCGGGCAGCAUAGGGCACCCUACUUCCUAACGGGAAGGAGGAUGGUUGGGAACGACCAUUCGACAGCCAGUGUCACAGAAAAUAUACCGCCCGUACUUAAUGUAUAAUUGACAAUGUAAAAUGAAUAAUGAAGGCUAUUGCUGGGAUUAUUCAUUAACCAUUAUACAUUAUUCAUUAAGUAGUGGUAAGGGUGAAAAGGUGGGGUAAGAGCCUACCGCCCGACGGGCGACCGGCGGGGCAGGAUAAACCUUAGGGGCUGAAAGACCAAAUAAGCGUCGGAUGUGGGGCGGCCCGUUCCCGUUUCGGAGAAAUCCGGAUGCCGACGCGGGUAGGUCGAACGAGGUGGCCGGUGACGACCAUCCCAGAUAAAUGAUAAGCCAUCUGAUGAGCCGAGAGGCUUACUUGGAGGACAGAACCCGGCUUAUAGACUCGUAUUGGGA